GACGGGUUUAAGAAUAUGCAGAUAGAUAGAGAGAAAGAAUAUGGGUGUGAAGAAGAGAGAGAGAAAAGUGUGAGAGUGAUGCAAAAUAUAGAUAUAACGAUAGAAAGUGAGUGAGAGCUCAGAAGCCAUAUUUCUCCCCCACUAGAAGAAUUUCUAAGCGAUUUAUUGUUGGUCGCCUGAGCUAUUCGUAUAUUGGGUGGGGAGGUAGUCAUAAUAUCUCAUCUUUUCUUUUGGUUUCUAGAAUUAUCCUGAGAGAGAUUAUACGAGAGAGAAAAAUCGAGGGUUUUCCUCUGAAGAAUUAUCUUGUCUUUUGGUUUCUACAAUCAUUCUGUCUGAGAGACGUUGUAGUGGAGAGAACGAAAUCAAGGGUUUUCAUUCGCAUAGCGCCUUCACCGUCACAUCGACGCUGGCGCUGAAGAACUCGGCUCUCUUCCCCAUCCAACGACACCUUGCCGUCACACCUGCAUCGGGCUAUAAGAACUCGAUUUUUUCCCCAUCCACUAGCGUCUCGCUGCCUUCAUGUACACAACCAGCAUAUCCAGCCAACCACAGGUGUUUGUUCCAUAAAGUUUUUUCUUGCAUUGAUGUUUCUCUUUCUUCUUCUUAGAUGUGAAAAUAUUUUUUUCAGAUACACUGCUUAUUCUUCAUUAUUG
rnacentral:lncRNA from 1 species